UGCGACUCCCGGGGGCCCGGAGACGGUGUCCCGCGGGAGUCGUCACGACACAACAUUUACAUACAAUGACUCUCGGCAACGGAUAUCUCGGCUCUUGCAUCGAUGAAGAACGUAGCGAAAUGCGAUACUUGGUGUGAAUUGCAGAAUCCCGUGAACCAUCGAGUCUUUGAACGCAAGUUGCGCCCGAAGCCAUUAGGCCGAGGGCACGCCUGCCUGGGUGUCACACAUCGUUUCCCCAACGCAAACAUGUAACAAUGUUGCUGCGCGGGGUGUAUGCUGACCUCCCGCGAGCACCCGCCUCGUGGUUGGUUGAAAUCUGGGUUCAUGGCCGACUUCGCCGUGAUAAAAUGGUGGAUGAGCCACGCUCGAGACCAAUCACGUGCGAGCCGGUCAGUUCUGGACCCAUCGACGACCCUUUGCGUGCACGCACGCUCCCAACGAGACCUCAGGUCAGGCGGGGCUACCCGCUGAG
rnacentral:rRNA from 1 species